UUGGUGGUUGUCUGUCGGUUC
rnacentral:siRNA from 1 species